rnacentral:rRNA from 1 species
CAAUAGCGUAUAUUUAAGUUGUUGCAGUUAAAAAGCUCGUAGUUGGAUUUCGGGUGGGACGCAGCGGUCUCGCAUUGCGUUUGUACUGCUGCAGCCCUCCUUCUUGCCGGGGGCGGCCUCUCGGACUUCACUGUCUGGGGGUCAGAAUCGGCGAUGUUACUUUGAGUAAAUUAGAGUGUUCAAAGCAAGCUUACGCUCUGAAUAUAAUAGCAUGGGAUAACACGACAGGACUCUGGCCUAUCGUGUUGGUCUAUAGGACCAGAGUAAUGAUUAAGAGGGACAGUCGGGGGCAUUCGUAUUCCGUUGUCAGAGGUGAAAUUCUUGGAUUUACGGAAGACGAACAUCUGCGAAAGCAUUUGCCAAGAAUGUUUUCAUUAA